UUAUUAUGCAAAUUGCGUCAAAUAUUCCAGGCUACCAGAUGAACAACAUAUCUAAAUACAUACAACGCAUCAUUUGGACACAUAAUUCAGUCAGUUUGCUAAAUUUAUUGAAAUUGUUCCAUUUCCAUUUCAUUUAUUGAAAUUUGGUCCCAUUCAUGUCAAGUCCGGUAACAGUUUAUAACCUCUAGGUAGCAAUUUUAUUACCAACCCGGAAUAGUCAUAUAUAUAGUACAAACGGUAACCCGUUGCCACAAUUUUUGGAGUGUACUAUUUCAUGAUAAAAAACUGUCAAAUGACCUCUAUUAUUAUUGGGAGACGGUAAAAAAACCCUGUCCAUGGUCCAUCGUGUACAGUGUCCAUCGUCUACUUCAACUGGCCAUAACUACACCUUUUUCAUCACUGUAUUUACAACAGUUAUUGGUUUUGCAAACUGAUAACGUUUGACACACUCGACAAUAAAAGUAUGAAGAAACACCCAGUCAUUACUGGUUUUUCUGCAUAACAAUAACUUUUCUAAUCUGUGACGCAUUGAAUUAUAUAAAGUUAACUUGUCAGUACCAUCCAGAUUUUAAUGGUUUUUUGCACAGAUGCCUCAACAAUUUAAUUCCCAUUUACGUUCAUGUCUCGUCCUUACUAAUGAUGCGAGUCGACAAAACUUUAAUUAUUCAAGUUGGAGUAAUGUUAUUUGAGAUAUGUAUGUACAUAAAUACUUUGGUCAAUAUUUUCAACCUUACUUAAACAUAAAGCACAAAUACCUACAUAUUUUAUUUACGUAAGUUGAUAUGUUGACCAACAGCCGACGUUGCAUUAACAUUACUUCCGGACAGGCCUGCUUUGCGUCAUUUUACAGCAUUUGUACCUCCAUAAAUCAUAAAUUCAUCAAAUAACUAGUUCAAUUCAGAAGUAGUUUUGUGAUCUGUUAUUGAUCCUGUGAUAGGAUUCCUGUCUGUGCUGGAUUGUACUGAAUUAAUGCAUCCAACUACACACAUAUAACGAAUAAAUUUGAUAAUACCAGCUCGUGUCGCAAUUCCUUGCAAAAAUAUGUUAUUUUGUCUGUUUCUUCGUAUCAGAAAACAAUAUCCAGUUCGUCCCAGCCGUAACGGCACCUAACUUGUUAUUUCCCUAACAAAGAAUCUGAUUAUUCGUUACUCUGUGGUAAUUUACAUAUUAGUAUAUAAACAUGUUUUUUGAUCAAAUCAAGUAAAAUAAAACCUGGAAUAAGACACCCUAACGUGUACCUCAUACCGAGCUGCCUUCAGAUUUCCAGAACGCUACAAAAAUUAAAAAUUUUCAGUAUGUUUGCAAAACUGAAUUUUAUCUCAUUUCUUAUCAUCGUUGGAAUCAUAUUAAUGAUUUCAAUAAACGAGGCGUCCGCACAGUGUGCUUGGCAUUGUCAAAGACUCCGAACCUGUGCCGGAUUGGGUUUCAUGAUGCCCACGUUGGACUGUAGACCAGCUCCGGCAGGAUGCUAUUGUUGAUCUCAUCACUUCCAUUGGAAUAACUUGCAUGUAAUAGUUCGUCGCUAAUAUUUUUGUAAUUCCUACUUAAACAAGAGAAUAUCAAAGGAUAUAAUUCUCAGAAAUAUCCAAAUCGUUUGGUCAACAAAUUACAAUCACAAUCACAAUUUUGUUUCAAUUUAGCAAUCAGUCGAGAAAACUCAAUUACAAAUUAACAAAUUAUUAAUUGAUUAAUGUGUUUUUACAAAAUUCAAUAUUCUGCUGAACACCUAGAUAUAGCUGUCUGUAAGGAAAAAUUGACAAUGUAUAAAUAAAUAAAUUUGACAAUGGAUUUAACAAGA